rnacentral:tRNA from 1 species
UUCUUUUGUAGUUUAUUAAAAACGUUACUUUUUCACUGUAAAAAAGAUUUUUCCAAAAGU